UAUGGUCGGAACGUCUGGUAGCGUCUUUGGCUGCUGUUGACCUGGUUUUUGGAGUAAAACACGGUGGAAGCUGAAUUAGUGAGGAUGAUUCCUGCUCCUGUCAUCUCUAAGCUCCUCACACAUCUUUACCUGCACAUGAGGAAAAUCACUCCUGUAGAAUGCAGAUGUUCAGAGGGAGAUGAUGCCACAUCUGGUCCAGCUGAUGGAAGGUCUUGAAGUUCUCUGACUGGCCUCGACUGAAGAUGUUCCUCUCACUGGAUUUAAGGUUCAGAUGCUCAGUAACAAACUCCACCAAUGAGCCAACAGGGAAGCUUUAGGUUUAUUAAAUGUUGCUAUGAAGGUAUCACUGUUUUUCUUUGUGGAUGCAAUGAGCUCCAACUGAAAGUUGAAGUAGAACUUAGAAGUAAAUCCUUCCAUCUGAAAGGAUUUAGUUGCAUUAAUAACCUCAUAACAUUCUAAUUUUUAUUCCAGUCUUGGUUGGAAAUAGAAUCUCUGUAUUGAUUCAGGUAAAAACUGAACUUCACAGCAUGUUGGAGCAAAACAACCAGAUGAAAACUGUGAUGGUGUUGGAUUGUCAGACUGUAAUGUUGCAGCUCAAAGCAGCUUUUCUAGCUCAGUUCAUUCUGACAUUCAGCUAUGAAUCAACACAGCAGAUGGUGAUCCAUGCUGUGGAAGUCUCACAUCUCCUGAUUUAAUGGAGCUGCUUUGCACUUUUUACACUGUUUAUUCACCAACACUUAAUUUAAUAAAAGUCCCAUCUAGUUUUUAUGAGGAAUGUGAUGCUUUAAUUUCUCUGUGAAUAACUGCAGUCUAAUGGAACAGCUGGAACUCUAACAUCUGUCCUGAUAUUGAUCAUGAAGUAUUGAUCAGAAUACUUAUGGUUAGCAGUCAUCCCUGAAGUUUUACAUUAAAAUCUUUACUUGUGUUGUGAACUUUGGUAAGAAGCAGAAACUUUAGCGUUGCCAUGGAUACAUGAGUGUUAAAUUCUGUCCAUGUUUCCAUUUUGGGAAAUGCAGUCCAGCAGAUGAGUUUGUUUUUACUGCCAGCUACCAUUCAGUCUGAGAUAUUAAGAAUAAAUAAAUGUGCAUAAUGUGGAAAUGAACAGAUUUUAUUUUUAUUUAUUCCUACAGCAGCUGCACGGAAAGUUCCAGAAUGUGGAGGAAUUUAGUCUCAAAAUCACAGACAUUAAAUAUUACCUGAAAGUCGGGUUAUUGUUGUUUAUCAGCACAAUACAAAAAGAUUCAUGUUAGACAUAUUCCAGUUAGAAUAUCAUGAUUUAUGUAAAUUUACCUCAAUAAUAUGAAUGUUCAGGUUAAGAUUGUGCAGUGAUAUUUAUUAUGCAAGUUUAGCUGAUUAAAGUUUAUGACUCUGCACUACAAUAUUAUUUAUUAUUUAAAUUUACAUCAUUAUUAUAAUAUUUAGGGUCAGACGCUACAGUAUUGAGAUUAAGAAAUCAAAUAUUCUAUAAAAUGUAAAUACACUGAACUCAUUUGGAUAUAUUUAAGUGAGACUCUACAAUAUUAUUUGACACAAAUCUAUGUAAAUCAACAUUUUAAUCAUUUUUACUCCAAACAUUUACUGGACUGAUUUAAACAUUAAAAUCACUCCUUUCUAAUCCUCUGCUGUACGUUCAAACCUGAGGCCUUAAAUAGAAACACACAAGUAUCUGAUUGAAGGAACUUCUGCAGAGUCCUGGUUCCAGAACAUGAUGAUAGAAUUAUAGACAAACUUUAACAAAAGCUGCCUGAGAGUUUACAGGAUUUUAUGUUAGAUUUCUUCAGUAAUUUAAUGAGAGUUAUCAGCAAAAAUCAAGUGUUCAUUUGAUGAACUUCACUUCCUAAAACAUCCAGAAUUGGAGCUCAUAUCUUUGGCAGCUGUAAAGUUUCUGCUCCUUCAAAGUUCACAACACAAUGAAUGAAUUCCUAAAACACUCUCAAUGCUGGAGAGCGUUUUUGAUGCUGAAGCAGUGACCAGUUUUUCUGUUUCUUCUCUGGAGAUGCACAAUGAGGGACGUCUGCAGAGACUGAGAAAGAGUCUCACCACAUCCUGACAUGAGGAAAAAGACUUUAUUGAAGACUACAAUGAGAAAAACUAUCAGACAGCAGACGGCUGCAUUCAAGUCUGUAGCUGCUGAAUUCAUGGAUGAAUCAUCUGGCACGAGAGAGGAAGACCAUCAAACAUCCAUGUCAGCUGAUGGAGGUCCAAGAGUCUCACUGAACAACCAACCUACAGAGUGAAGACCUCGAAUCUGAUUGGACGGCCUCCUAUUCAGCCACGUGUGAACAAAUGCCUCUAAGCUGAUUUGUUUUCUAAAAUAAAUCUAGUUUGAG
ensembl:lncRNA